AUUACUUUUUGCCCAUGGCCUCUUGCCAUGCAUUCAUUGGCUUGUCGAAGCUACAAGAGCACUAGCAGAGCAACAAGAGGAAGCCUGCAGCCACGCUCCUCCUGGAUCUCCUCACGAUGGGUUCGCAUCGUCACCGCAGCGCAGGGCAAUGCAGCCUCGUGCAGCCGCCACGCCUCAUCACCUGCCUUCUCCUACUGCUGCUUCUGCUUCUGUCGCCACCGGCGCUCCCGUGCUCGGCGUCGUCGUCGUCGUCGUCGUCGUCGGUGAUCACUCACCUCCCGGGAUUCCAUGGUCGCCUGCCGUUCUACCUCGAGACUGGAUAUAUUGGUAUCGAGGAGAAGACUGGCACUGAGCUCUUCUACUACUUCGUUGAAUCAGAGACGAACCCUGACACGGACCCUUUGGUAUUGUGGCUGGUGGGUGGGCCCCGUUGUUCGGCCUUCUCUGGCUUAGCCUACGAAGUAGGUCCUUUGAAUUUUGUGUUGGAAGCUUAUAAUGGUAGUUUGCCAAGAUUGGUUUAUAAUCAGUAUUCAUGGACACAGAUGGCAAGCAUAAUUUUUUUGGAUAGUCCUGUCGGUUCUGGUUUCUCAUACGCACGUGAUUCCAAUGGUUACGAUGUUGGGGAUAUAUCAUCUUCUUUACAAGUGGUCACAUUUAUGAAGGAGUGGCUCAAUGAUCACCCACGCUACCGCUCACAUAAUUUCUAUGUUGGUGGAGCCUCAUAUGCUGGAAAGGUGGUUCCAGUUAUCGUGCAAUACAUUUCAGAAGCAAUUGAAGAACAAAGGCAACGACCAUUGAUUGAUCUUAAGUUACAGGGAUAUAUAGUUGGCAACCCCAUAACAGGUUCGAAAUUCGAUAAAAAUUUCCAUGUUCCCUAUUCUCAUGGCGUUGGAAUUAUAUCUGAUCAAUUAUAUGAGGCUGCGGUAACGCAUUGCAAAGGAGAUUUUGUGAACCCAACAAACCAAUUGUGUGCUAACGUCGUAUAUACUAUUAAUAAACUCAUGUCUGAAGUUUCGGAUGGAAAUAUCUUGGAGGAUAAAUGUGUUAAAGCUGCACCAAAACCUACAAUAGAUGUUUCAGCAAGCAGGGCACUGCUGGAAGAAUACAGCCGGCUAAGCAAGCCACCUAUUCGACCUUCUAUGGAUUGCGCUUCAUAUGGUUACUACCUAUCAUACUGCUGGAUGAAUGACAAUACGACUAGAGAUGCUCUUAAGAUCAAGAAGGGAACCAUUGGUGAGUGGUUAAGAUGAAAUAGAGGUGUAUUUCCCUAUGCUAAAGACAUCCCAAACGCCUUGGAUUACCAUUUUAAUCUCACCACAAGAGGUUACCGAGCACUUGUGAUGAGCGGUGACCAUGAUCUCAAGGUGCCAUUUUUGAGCACUCAGGCAUGGAUAAGAUCCUUUAACUUCUUCAUAGUUGAUGACUGGAGAGCAUGGCAUGUGGAUGGCCAAGCUGCUGGAUUCACAAUUACGUAUGCCAACAACUUGACCUUUGCCACAGUAAAGGGUGGUUCCCAUGUCGCUACAGUAAACAGGCCUAAAUAAUCUUUCGCCAUGGGGAAACGGUGGCUAGCCAAUAAGCCUCUAUGAUGUUGCCAGCUCCUAUUUGUCAGAAAUGUUUGCAGGGUUUUAACUCAACCAUGUGUCUGCUGUCCAAGUGCCAUGGUUCUCGAAAAAAUACUAUUUGUAAUGGAGCCCAUAUAAAUAGUGUUCUCUUCUGCCGAAAGGCAGGUUUCACUUAAAGUGAAAUGGAAAACACAAUAGUUAUAUAUUAAUUUCUCUCGAAAAAAUUUGAUCCCUACUACACAUCCAUUGGGUUCUAUUUAUAGGUUUACAAAAAUAGUGUUCUCUUCUGCCGAAAGACAGGUUUCACUUAAAGUGAAGUGGAAAGCACAAUAGUUGUAUAUUAACUUCUCUCGAAAAAAUGUGUUCCCUAUUGC